rnacentral:precursor_RNA from 1 species
AUCCCUGGGUUCCUUGUGUUCUUCCAGUCCGCCCUCUGUCACCUUGCAGACGGCUUUCUCUCCGAAUGUCUGCAAGUGUCAGAGGCGAGGAGUGGCAGCUGCAUCUCUGCAGGAGGACUC